UCUCAUAUUAUUUCACCAAUCAGGUAAAGGAAGCUUACUAUGAAAUCUCAUGAGAAAAAAGUCAAAUCUCAUGAGAUCACAGUAAAAGAGUUCAUGACCUCUGCACUGCUGAUGCUGAUUGGCUGUUGUUCAUUUCUUCAUUUUUUUAUUUUUUUUUACCUGCAGCUGGGAGCAGCUAAGUAUAACUUUUUACACAGAACUUAAUCUGCUGAGCUGAGGAGAUUGUGAGGUAAAAUAUCCUUUUUUACAUAGAUAAAAUAUCCUUUUUUACAUAGAGAUGCUCAGGUGAUAUUUUCCUGUCAGCUUUUUACAGGUAUACUGCAUCAGUUUCAAGUGAUUUAGCAUAUGAGUAUUAUGUCCCUUUAAUGAUGGUGCAGGCCUGCUAGGUAAUUUUUGUUGAUGCACUGGAGGGAUAGUAGAAAGGGGUGGCGUGGCUGCAUGGGGGAUUGCGGUGCCAGAACCACCUUGAGGCCCACCUAAAGAAUAAAGGCCUGAGUCCCCCACCUGAAAACCAUCAAAGUGACCGUCGAUAAGUGAUUGCACAUCACUAGUAGCAUGAAAAUGUGGCCCCUGAUUCAUACCCUGUGGAUUAGCCACCGAAGCAGCCAUUGCUGCAGCAAUGGAUGACAAGAAAUUAGAAACUGCAGAGGGUGGAACCGCAUUAAACAGUGAAUCCACAUGGCUAGCUAGUAAAAUUUGCUGGGGCAUUAAAGUUAAAUUGGGAGCUUGUUCAGUCUUCAUAGGUUGAGACAAUUGAGAAUCAUGAGCUAUCCCUGUAUCAGCUAUGUCUUGCUCUUCUAUUGUAUAAAUUUGGGCAGUAACUACAUUUGUGUACUGAGUGGGGGGUAUAAUAUCUAUAUCCUCCAUGUUAUCUGAUUGUACACUUAUCUUUUUGCUUUGUGUUGUGGGUCCUGAUGUUCCUUGAUCGUCCUGAUAGUGCCUAGGAGGAAGAAUGGAACGCCUGGAACGAUGCAUAGCUGCACUGCACAAUAUGGAAAACUGUCUCAGCCAGGAUCCGAUGGAGAAGAGGAAGUUGCUUGGGAGGAAUCAGCUUUUUACUGGAUUGCUCCCAGAAUACAGGCUCCGAAUUGCAGCGGCGGAUCACGUGGACAAGUUACAUCCUUAACAUUGAAGCAAGACUCCGAGAGGUGCUGUCCUUAGGGCGCAAGACCCUGAGAAGCCAACAGAAGCUUAUAUGUGGAUCGUAGCACAGAUGCAUAUCAAGGAUCGAUGUAACUUUUUGAAGGCUAUGGAACACAACAAAAAGAACAUAGAAAAGAAGCAGUUAGAGCAGUAUAUAAAAUGUCAUGAAGAACCUUCUUUGUCGGAUUUUCUGGAACCUUUGGCUGGAAAACAAACACAAGGGAACAUUGCGGACAUGGAGAAAAAGUGACAAGCACCCUACAGUUCCUUCACAUUCAAACUAAGCACAUAUUCGGAAGAAAAAAAAACAACCAAAGACCACCACCACCACAACAAAAGAAAGCUAAAACACUUCUCAAAGUGUCACUCUGUGUUUAAGUCCAGAAUAAACAGCUCACAGCGCUAUCGAACUUUGGAUAUAGUGGAUACCCAAUAUAGAGAUUUGCACAUAUCUGGAUAUAUAUUACUUCCUGUUGGGAAGGAGAAUAUCCCACAAGUAAUGGAUGAACCCGUGGACUGGAUACACCUUACAAGAGAAAGAAAUUUAUCAGCUGGCUUUUAUGGACAUGCUGUAUUAUAGCGGCGGAAUCCCCAAACGAACAUAACUUGCGACUGUACCUCUGUAAACUAUACAGGAACUGAGCACAUCCUUUCACAGUGGAGUGAUUAAUCAGGAGGUCCAGUCGUUCAUUCCUGAUGCCAAGACGAUGCAGGUCAGAGGUUAUUCCAUCUGAUUUAUUAAUUGGAGAUUACUAUGUCCUUGAUACUCUUGAAAAAUGAAACG